CUCCGAUACCAAAAAAUUAAAAUAAAAAUAAGACAAUUGUAAUCAGAUACACUUUUAAAUAUAUUGUCCUACCUGAAUUACAAUGACUUUUUCUGUCUCAUUUUUCCUUUAAUAGACCAGUACUUAUUGUACUUAUUCGAUUAACCUAAGAGCAUGGCAUAUAUGUAUUGUCUACAAUCUAACUUAAAAUUAUGUAAGAAUUUUACCUAUGUAAUUUUUACAUCAUUCUUCAGGGUAGAUCUUGUCUGUGUAAGUCUUAAAAGCCACAUUUUCUAAGUGGUACAUACCAUUUCCAUGAAAAUGCCUCUUCUUAAAUUUCAACAUUAUGAAUAAAGUUUGAUUUAUUUCAGAUGCUGCAACAGUUGGAAAACAGUAUAGGUACAGAAGUAGGAGAAGCUACUGCUGAGCUUGAAAUGGGAAUCCUUAACAUACAAGAGCUGCUAAAGAAUCUAGCCAAGUUCUAAUUUCAGAAACAUCACAAGGCUGCCUGGAGAUUUUAAGGAAAUGACAUAAGACCUGAAAAGAUAAUUUUAAUUUUUGGACUUUUUAUAUAAACAUUUUAAUUAUUUCCCAUAACGUGUAUGAUGGGAAAACUUUGUUAAAAGAAAAAAAUGUAUCAUAGACACAUGAUGAAAAUUUCUUUACUGUUUUAAACUGAUUCUUGACAUUUGUAACUUUUUAAGUGAUGUUUAAAAGUAAAAACCAGUGUUAUGGAGUUUUAUGCACUCAAACUUCCCCAGUUUCAGAUGUUUUGUUUUGUUUCUCCGGUACCAGGCAUUGAACUCAGGACCUUACAAUUGCAAGGCAGGCAUGGUGCCACUGAAUCAAAUCCUUGACCCUGCGCCAGCUAUUUUAAACUCACGCAAACAUCCAAGUUGUCAUUAAUACUUUGUUGGAGUGAAA